GCAAUCCUCUAGCCUGCGGAGGGCUCUGGCUUCGAGGCGGCGCUGUUGAGCCACCUCUGUCCCCGGCCGCCCGGAGCAGUGGGUUCCUCUGCCGGGCCAGGAGGGUGAUGGAGGGACCGCGGCGGCGGCCUCACCCCAACCCGGCGUUGGCCGGUGUCCGCCCGUGACGGUCACAAGGGCUGUACGUAACAGACAGUCCUGCAUCCAGGACCCCGAGGUCCGAUCGGCGGCUGCUGCGCGCCCAGCGGAGCGUCUCAGUUCAAGCCAGGGCUGGAGCUCGGAGUUCAGAAAUAGUAACGGGAGAGGCGGGGAUUCGCAAACCUAAAAAUGCAGAUUCCAAGGCCUUACCGCAGAGCUUAAUUCCGUGUGUCUAUGUGGGGCCCAUUAAUCUUCAUUUUAGCGAGUUCCCCAGAAUUUAACAAGUUCUAAUGUCGGUGGUCUUGAGACCACAUUUAAAGCAAUAUAGCUUUAGACUGUUUAUUCUACCAUCUACUGCAGUCUUUCAGUCUGGCCUCCAGCUUGCUUAAUUUGAGCAGAGGAAACUGGCUAGUUGUCCACAGUCGCUAGUCUCAAUUCUUCUAGUUCCAGUAUUAACAUUAACGUCUUGACUUGGGAAUAUUGCAUUCCCUCGUUAAGAUUCAGUUUCCCCCUCUGCAAACGAGGAUGUUAGACUAAAUCAGUUUUCCCAGCCAAAGCCCUGAGAACGUGUGACAAGUAUGCCUUGAGACAUUGAUGUGUCAAAAAUUGCUGUAUAAUUUUUUUAUUUGUGUUAUAGAAAUACCAUUUUCUGUAUAGGCAAUGGCAUGAAAAAGAUUAGGAAGACCUAAAGAUACCUAAGGGUCCUUCCAGCCCUUAAAUACCAGUUGUUUCAGAGCUAACCACCUUCUGAGACAGCCUUUCUUCUGUUGGAUAGCCGUAAUUGUUAGAAAAUUCUUACCAGUGUCAUAUUGAGCUGACAGUCUAUUUACCUUUCUGUAACUAUGAAAACAUUGGCUCUCUGGAAGUAGGACUAAGCCUACUUCUUCUUUUAAGCGGUAA
rnacentral:lncRNA from 10 species